rnacentral:misc_RNA from 1 species
GAAAUGCGAUAAGUAGUGUGAAUUGCAGAAUUCAGUGAAUCAUCGAAUCUUUGAACGCACAUUGCGCCCCUUGGUAUUCCAUGGGGCAUGCCUGUUCGAGCGUCAUUUGUACCCUCAAGCUCUGCUUGGUGUUGGGUGUUUGUCCCGUCUCCGCGCGUGGACUCGCCCCAAAGUGAUUGGCAGCCGGCGUACUGGUCCCGGAGCGCAGCACAUGUCGCGCAAACGAGUGCCUUGGUACGGCGGCUUCCAUAAGCCCCUCUCUCACGCUCUUGACCUCGGAUCAGGUAGGGAUACCCGCUGAACUUAAGC